rnacentral:rRNA from 1 species
UACGGGGGGAGCAAGCGUUGUUCGGAUUUACUGGGCGUAAAGGGCGCGUAGGCGGCCAGCACAAGUCAGUUGUGAAAUCUCCGAGCUUAACUCGGAACGGUCAACUGAUACUGUGCGACUAGAGUGCAGAAGGGGCAACUGGAAUUCUCGGUGUAGCGGUGAAAUGCGUAGAUAUCGAGAGGAACACCUGCGGCGAAGGCGGGUUGCUGGGCUGACACUGACGCUGAUGCGCGAAAGCCAGGGGAGCGAACGGG